UGCGUAGGUGGCAAGGUAAGUUUGGGGUGAAAUCUCCGGGCCCAACCCGGAAACUGCCUCGAAAACUAUCUUGCUUGAGGAUCGGAGGGGAGACUGGAAUUCUCGGUGUAGCAGUGAAAUGCGUAGAUAUCGAGAGGAACAUCAGUGGCGAAGGCGAGUCUCUGGACGGUACCUGACACUGAGGCACGAAAGCCAGGGGAGCAAACG
rnacentral:rRNA from 1 species